rnacentral:rRNA from 11 species
AUGAAGAGUUUGAUCCUGGCUCAGGAUGAACGCUAGCGGCAGGCUUAACACAUGCAAGUCGAGGGGUAACAGGAGAAGCUUGCUUUUUGCUGACGACCGGCGCACGGGUGCGUAACGCGUAUGCAACUUACCCCAUACUGAGGGAUAGCCCAUGGAAACGUGGAUUAAUACCUCAUAGUACUAUUGAAUCGCAUGGUUUAAUAUUUAAAGGUUACGGUAUGGGAUGGGCAUGCGUCUUAUUAGCUAGAUGGUGAGGUAACGGCUCACCAUGGCGACGAUAAGUAGGGGGUCUGAGAGG